CAGCGGCGUCCUGCCUCACGAACCUCGUGGGGUUUCUGCUGCCUGCUUGCUUGAAGUUUUGACCUUCUCUCCUCUGCGUUUAUCUGGGACUGACCACGAUUCUGACUUCCUGUUUUUCUUUUUCCCCCUCCACCUCUUUGCCCUUUUAAAUUCCUCCUCUCGCCCGCCCCCCUCGUCUUUUCCGUCCUCGCUUUCGCUUGUCCCCGUUUUCCCAUCAGACUCUGAAUAUCCCAAGCUUCUUGAUCCCCGUCUCUGGGCUUUAGAACGGUUUUGUCAAGGGCAAAAGAGUUUUUUGUAGGUUUCAAAUCGCUGUUAAGUGUCGCCGGCAGCUUAUUGGAAGACUGAUGCCCUCCCAGGCCUGCCAUUGUCAUUGCUGUUAUACAAAUGGGUGGUCUGAACUUCAAGAGUGGGCUUUUUAGGCAAAGUUUCUGCAAUCAAACAUGGAAAAUACAAGCUCAUGGAUACUGAAAUCAAGCACAGUGACUUCAAGAACAGCAUUCUCACAAUUGUUUCUCUUUUCAAUUAAAUGUGUGAGCAUUCAUUAGAAAUCAUUUGUAAUUUGAUUAUCCUGGAAGCAUUUAGUGAGAAGAACAAAAGUAUCAUAUGUAGGCAAAAUUCAUUACUAUAUGGGUUUUUAAAAGGAUAAGCUAUAGGGAAGCUAAAGAUAACUGAUAAUUUUGGAUAAUAGUAAUGCAUAUAACUAUGUUGCUUUUUUCAUUUCAAUCUGUUUUCUAACAGAAAGUUGGUCCCAUGUCAGCCCCCCAAAAGUCUUAAAGAGAAUUUGCCAUAGCAAAGAUGUGCUACUGAAGCCAAUCUUCAGUUGCACUUA